AGUGAACGCUGGCGGUAGGCCUAACACAUGCAAGUCGAACGGCAGCACAGUAAGAGCUUGCUCUUACGGGUGGCGAGUGGCGGACGGGUGAGGAAUACAUCGGAAUCUACUUUUUCGUGGGGGAUAACGUAGGGAAACUUACGCUAAUACCGCAUACGACCUACGGGUGAAAGCAGGGGAUCUUCGGACCUUGCGCGAUUGAAUGAGCCGAUGUCGGAUUAGCUAGUUGGCGGGGUAAAGGCCCACCAAGGCGACGAUCCGUAGCUGGUCUGAGAGGAUGAUCAGCCACACUGGAACGGAGACACGGUCCAGACUCCUACGGGAGGCAGCAGUGGGGAAUAUUGGACAAGGGGCGCAAGCCUGAUCCAGCCAUACCGCGUGGGUGAAGAAGGCCUUGGGGUUGUAAAGCCUUUUUGUUGGGAAAGAAAAGCAGCAGGUUAAUCCCCCGCUGUCCGGAGGGUACCAAAAGAAUAAGCCCCGGCUAACUUCGUG
rnacentral:rRNA from 1 species